rnacentral:misc_RNA from 1 species
CCGUCUGACAUACAUAGUUCGGUCACGACGGCGGGCACAGGAGGAUCCUACGUCUCCUCCGAGGAAUACAUAGUCGACAAUAGUUUCCUCGAAAUUGCGUUCGUGCUUCUUCCCUCUAUCUUUUCGAAAUCACGUAGACGUCAUCGCAUGUGCCUCCGGAAUUUUCACUUUACUUUAAUUCAAAGAUAGUAUAUAAGAACCGAUGUCGACAGAUCGUGUAUUGUGACACAGAGAUAAUGUCGGGCCGACCAACGUGUUUAAAUGAUCAGUGUUUUAUCUACGGUGAAAUGAGCUCGGUCACAAUUGACGACCAGUGAAACGGACAAUUCUGAAGAUUUUGUUGAAUACGUGGUCGUCGAUUUUCAACGAAAGAAGAAAGACGUGAAAAGAGGAGAGAUCCCAGUGCAUCCUGCAGAAGACCCACGAUUGAGAUGUCAUUGGGCUGACUCCUAAUGCUAUGGCAGCCGAUCUUUAUGCGAACGGCUCUGUGAAGUCAACGUCUGCCAGGCUCGUACGCAGCAUGGGGCAGCGAAAAUCGGGCACCCUGGGCGCCGCGGCGCCCAUAUCGACGGAGGAGGAGCAGCUGAAGUUUCAAGACAGUAGAUUUCUGACGACUUUGGUUGGCAGAAGUAGGAAAAUCUCGCCGGACAUAUUGCCAUCGUGCUCGCCCGGCGUGUUUCGCCAAAGGUCGUUCCGCUCGUCUACGCCGCCGCCGAAGAAGCUGCCAGCAUCCUCACCGGCACUUCCAACGGCAGCGACAAUAACACCCAUCUCGCGAAACAGCCGGGGCGCAUCUGCGGCCGCGGCCAACGAUCGCGCGGCCACCCCUACCGUCCCUACCGUCCCCACCCCCGUGUCAGCUGUUCCACCACGUGACAACGGUUCGUGGGUCGUCGUCGGCGCUCCUCUGACGUUGUCGCGGGGCACCCGAGCAACCAGCAAGCAGGCGCGCCUCGGUCCGGUACUGGCCAGCAAAAUGGCGUCCGCGAGCUCCUCCACGAUCGUGCAGGGCUGGCCGAAUACCAAGGACGAUUACGAGCUCAAGGAGGUUAUCGGAGUUGGAGCGACCGCCGUGGUGCAUGCAGCAUUUUGUAUCCCGCGACAAGAGAAAUGUGCGAUCAAGAGAAUAAAUUUGGAAAAAUGGAAUACAAACAUGGACGAACUGCUGAAAGAGAUACAGGCGAUGUCUUCUUGCAACCACGAAAACGUCGUAACUUAUUAUACAUCAUUCGUGGUAAAAGAAGAACUCUGGCUGGUUUUAAGAUUACUAGAAGGCGGAUCCUUGCUGGAUAUUAUUAAGCAUAAGACUAGAACCACUAAUUGCAAGCAUGGAGUAUUCGACGAAGCCACUAUAGCUACUGUACUUCGGGAAGUACUCAAAGGGCUUGAAUAUUUCCACAGCAAUGGACAGAUUCAUAGGGACAUAAAAGCGGGUAAUAUCCUACUAGGCGAGGAUGGCACGGUGCAGAUCGCCGAUUUCGGUGUCAGCGCGUGGCUCGCAACCGGACGCGACCUGAGUCGGCAGAAGGUCCGGCAUACUUUCGUCGGUACACCAUGUUGGAUGGCGCCUGAGGUCAUGGAGCAGGUGAGAGAGGAUCAUGGCUAUGAUUUUAAGGCUGAUAUAUGGUCACUUGGCAUCACGGCGAUCGAGAUGGCCAGCGGCACGGCACCAUAUCACAAAUAUCCUCCGAUGAAAGUCUUGAUGCUGACGCUGCAGAAUGAUCCACCCACUCUAGAUACUGCCGCAGAUGACAAGGAUCAGUAUAAGGCAUAUGGGAAAACAUUCCGAAAAAUGAUUGUCGAUUGUUUACAAAAAGAUCCUACCAAGAGACCAACAGCCACUGAGUUGCUGAAACACCCAUUUUUCAAGAAAGCCAAAGAUAAGAAAUAUCUGCAACAAACAUUGGUAGCAAUUGGACCUAGUUUAGAAACACGCGUACAAAAGGCAUCAAAAAGACAACCCGGUACAUCAGGUCGUUUACAUCGAACGGUAACUGGAGAAUGGGUCUGGUCGUCAGAGGAAGAAGAUAGUGGUGGAUCAAGUGGUGACGAAGGUGCUAAAGAGGCGUUGCCGGUCAACACGCUCGAAAAGGCUAGUAGUGAUGAAGACGUCGGCGAGUCCGACGAAUACUAUGGUCAAAUAAAAGUAGCACCGAGUCAAGUUGCAAUACCAGCUACCGAGCAAAAUGUUCCUAUAAAUUUGGUGCUCAGAUUACGAAAUGAAAGACGAGAGCUUAAUGACAUUAGGUUCGAAUUCACUGUUGGAGUAGAUUCAGCGCAAGGAAUCGCAGCAGAACUCGUUGCUGCGGGUCUAGUCGAUGGUAAGGAUGUUGUGGUGAUAGCAGCGAAUCUGAAAAAAUUGAUAGAAAGUGGAGGACAAUUACGGACAGUGACAUUUUCCUUGAAUUCUGGCUAUGCAGCGAAUGAAAUACCAGAUGACAAGGCGUUAAUAGGAUUUGCUCAGAUCUCUCUCACCGAUUGAAUAAUUUCGAUUACCGAAUGAUUCCAUUUCUGAACUCUCAGGAUAAUGUUCUUAAUUGAUGCAUAUUCGCCAUUUGUUAGAUCCAGAGAGUAUCAAAAGCUAACGAUCGGCUAGAUAUUAUUUUUCGAAAUAAAUUAUAUCAUAGACGAUAAAUAAAUAUUUGGAGCACACAUACAGAACACAUAAUAGGUAAUCGAAAUACAUAUUUGUUACAAUAGUAGUAACAAACUAUGCUCAAGCGUGUUUGAUAACAUCGUCAGUGUUCAUAUGCGGAGGCAAUCAUGAAUGGGGCAGUUAAAAAUAAUAUCAUUCACAUACUGGCUUAAAAGUAUACACUUACUCUCUUUCUCUCUAAUCAAUAAUGGCUGUAGUUUUACAUAACCGAAUUGUAUCAUUCGUAUUACAUCAGUCUAUGUAAAUAUUAGCAUUCAAUCAUUUGUUGAGUUUUCCUUUUUUUUCUUUAUGAUUAAUGUAUCAAAUGGAAUAAAGAGAUAUUGCAUAUGUGAAAUGCAAUAUUUCAUAUGAACUUAGAGAAUCAAGAGAAAAUGCUUGAUAAUCUAAUUUAUUUGCCCUAAAUGUAAGCUGUUUCUCUUGAAUAGCAAAAAGCUUUAGUUACAUAAAAAAAUUCAAUAUGCUGAAUAUAGAAUCAUGUUCAUGUAUCAUGUACAGAUUAUCCGUGUACAUCUUAUGUUAUAUGCUAGGAAAAGGCAGAUAUAGAAAAUGUUGGAAUAAAAUAAAACUCUUUUGUACUUAAUUAAAUAGACUUACGAUAGCAAAUUAAUAUUUUCACAGUUUUUAGACGUAGCGAGAUAGAGAAAUGAUCGAAAAGUUUUUACUCGUACGUCUUGAGGAAAUGUUCAAUUAAUUUCUUCAUAAAAUGUAUUGGAAAAAAUUGAUAAAAUCAGAAUCACAUACAACAGCAGUUUAACACAAUCUAUACUCUCUCUUUUUACGAUUUUACGAAUAUCCCACAUUUAUGUUUAAAAGACAUUCAGAGAACAUCCUGAAGAUAUCUUCGAAAUAUCUUCUGAACGUCUUUUGGAUAUGCGUGCUAUGUGGGAUAGUAUUAAUUAUUUUUACAUUCCUGUAUUUACUGAAAAUUGUAAAGAUAUAUAUUUGUGAUGUUCUUAUCGUUUUUUAUAUUUACAAAUUGUAAAGAUUGAGUUUUAUGACAAAAAGACAAAUAAUCGUCAAAAACGUGUGUGCGAAUACUUUCUUAAUGUUUUCA